rnacentral:lncRNA from 1 species
ACUGUUCGGGGUUCCGGUCACCUUUUCGGUGAUCCAAGGGCACCCCGAUGACUGUGGAAGUGAGCACGAUCAUCGUUGGUUCGUUCUGAGCAUCGUGCUCACCUCCGUUGGGGUCAACGGUGCCCCGGUUUGCGUGUUAGACGCGAUUUAGGCGCUGCGCGCGCUGUUUCGCUGAUGUUUGUGUCGCUCGUGCGCCUUCCACAGUGGUCGGCAGUGCUCUGAAAGGUGAGCAUGGCCUCAAGGACGCUGAGACCUAUCAGCGAGUGUCUCAGCUUGACUAAAUGAUCAUCAGUUU